rnacentral:lncRNA from 1 species
CACCAAGGUGGUCACUAUUGAAUUUUAUUAAUGCUGCAGCCAGAGAGCUCUGAGCUUGUGCUGGGUUAUUCUUUUAUACUGACACCCCUUUUUCUUUAGAGCAUUUAUAUAAGAUACCCACAAGCUGUCAAGUUCUUCCUGAAGUUUUUAAAAACUGAUUCUUUAAUAACCUAAAUAUAGGAACCUCCAGGUAGCUAGACAAUGGCAGCUGCAUAGCUACCUACCUCUCAGUAUUUCCUCCACCAGCAAUAUGCAACAAGACAGGAAAAGUCAGUUCUACAUAAAAAACACACCCUCAGCAUAAUUUGAAGAUGGACAAUGCCAAAUCUUCAAAAUAUCCAAGUAAAAAGAGAAAAAUCACCAAACCCCUCUCCACACUCUGUCAUAUGAGUAUUUCUGCGCAACCCUCACCUCACCACAAAGUAGCAAACAAAGGCAGAGCAAGAAAAACUGUAGGGACUACAGAAAAAGGAAGCUAGUGCGGGGGUCCAAGGUUGAUCUGAAACUACCACCACAAAGACUAAAUGGACCCUAAGUCUGGAAAUACUCAAAAAAAAAAAAAAAGUGUCCAGGCAGAUGACAGCAUGAACUACAGGGAAGGAACUUUAGGAUACAUAGGAUUUAAAGAUGCAGGCAUGUUUAAAGGCAAAGGGCAUAGCUUCUGAAAAGGCAAAAAGAAAGGGAGAAAGCCCCUUUUGGCAAUUGGAUUGUUAAAAAGAAAGGAAAAAAAGGAAAGGAAAAGAGGGCUUAGCAAGAAAAAAGAGAAGCAUAAAAUCAAAGGACUCAGAACCCUUCCCACAAUCAUCAACACACACACACACACACACACACACACACACACACACACACACACUCUCUCUCUCUCUCUCUCUCACCUGGAAAAACACCUGGACUUUGCACACACCUGGACUUUGCUACAUUCACAGAAGAGGACAUGACAAACUAGAAAUAUUGAUAAACAGCCCAAUACCACAAACAGGAGCAAGAGGAAAGUUCAUACAGAGCUACUGCCAGAAAUCAAGAAAUGAAAUUCCCUUAUAUCAAAUUAGGAAAAAAUUCCCCAAUAAACAAUUACAAAGGAGAAGAAACUGAAAGUGAACACUUCAAACAAAUAUAUUCAGACAAACUUUGAGGAUAUGAAAAAACAUUGUGAAACAAAUUCAAAAACAGGAUGUGGACAGAAGUGGACAGAAAUCAGAGAUAAAAGCAAGAGUCAUUGAAAAAGCCAGGAAAACAACCAAGAAAAUGAAAAUGACAAAAGAAGAAAUAAAAAAGAUUAGAGAAAAAGUAAUGGAAUGGAAAACUGUAAUAUUUAUGUUAUUGAGGAAGAAAAUUAAGUUAACAGAGGUUAUUUUUAAAACUAUAAUCCAAGAGCACUUUCAAAAAUACAAGAAAAAAAUCAAUCUAUAAACUUAAAGUGUUUAACAAGUAUUAGGUUGGGGUGCAAAAGUAGUUGCAGUUUUGCAAUUAAAAGUAAUGGCAGCCACCGCGCCCGGCCAAAAGUAUUAAAUUUCAAAGACAAAAUAUCCUCAAGGUCAGAAGACCAAAAGAUCAAAAGAAUUUACAAAGGCAAAAGACUGUCAGACAUUGAGAAACCAAUACAGUUAGCAAGGUGACAAGGAAGUGGUGUGGUUGGCAGGAUUCUAAGAGAGGCCCCAGGAUUCUGUGCCCACUGGUGAACAUGCCUGCAUCAUCCCUAGACUGUGAAAGUGAUGGAUUUUACUCCCGUAAUUAGAUCGUAUGUCACAGUUAAUUUUAAGAAAGGGAGAUUAUCCUGGCGGGCCUGACCUAAUCACAUAAUCCCUUUAACAGCAAUUUUCUCCAGAUGCUUGAAGAAGAGAAAGAGAUUUAAAGCACAAGAAGGGUUUCAUGUGCCCUUGCUGGCUUGAAGAGGAAGAAGCCACGUAUGCAGGUGGCCUCUAGCAGCUGAGAGUGGCCCCUGACUGAAAGUCAGCAAGAAAGCAGAGACCUCAGUCCCAAAACUGCACCCACCUGA